rnacentral:rRNA from 1 species
CUGCUAUCGGAUUGAUACUAAGCCAUGCGAGUCAUUGUAGCAAUACAAGGCAUACGGCUCAGUAACGCGUAGUCAACCUAACCUAUGGACGGGAAUAACCUCGGGAAACUGAGAAUAAUGCCCGAUAGAACAUUAUGCCUGGAAUGGUUUAUGUUCCAAAUGAUUUAUCGCCGUAGGAUGGGACUGCGGCCUAUCAGUUUGUUGGUGAGGUAAUGGCCCACCAAGACUAUUACAGGUACGGGCUCUGAGAGGAGUAGCCCGGAGAUGGGUACUGAGACACGGACCCAGGCCCUAUGGGGCGCAGCAGGCGAGAAAACUUUGCAAUGUGCGAAAGCACGACAAGGGUUAAUCCGAGUGGUUUCUGCUAAAGGAACCUUUUGUCAGUCCUAGAAACACUGAUGAAUAAGGGUGGGCAAGUUCUGGUGUCAGCCGCGCGGUAAAACCAGCACCUCAAGUGUCAGGAUGAUUAUGGGCCUAAAGCAUCCGUAGCCGGCUCUGUAAGUUUUCGGUUAAAUCUGUACGCUCAACGUACAGGCUGCCGGGAAUACUGCAAAGCUAGGGAGUGGGAGAGGUAGACGGUACUCGGUAGGAAGGGGUAAAAUCCUUUGAUCUAUUGAUGACCACCUGUGGCGAAGGCGGUCUACCAGAACACGUCCGACGGUGAGGGAUGAAAGCUGGGGGAGCAAACCGGAUUAGAUACCCGGGUAGUCCCAGCUGUAAACCAUGCAAACUCAGUGAUGCAUUGGCUUGUGGCCAAUGCAGUGCUGCAGGGAAGCCGUUAAGUUUGCCGCCUGGGAAGUACGUACGCAAGUAUGAAACUUAAAGGAAUUGGCGGGGGAGCACCACAAGGGGUGAAGCCUGCGG